GUGAAUAUUAGGACAUCGCUUCGGCGAGUUCGACCCUCCACUUUUCAACUCUGUGCAUUUAUUGGCGGAAUCGAGCGAGCAAUCGUGAAGUUCUGCGUCUCAUUUUUAAACACUAGUCAAAGUAUGUAACGAAAUAUCGAAAUAAAAA
rnacentral:misc_RNA from 1 species